GACGAACGCUGGCGGCGUGCUUAACACAUGCAAGUCGAACGGAAAGGCCCUGCUUUUGUGGGGUGCUCGAGUGGCGAACGGGUGAGUAACACGUGAGUAACCUGCCCUUGACUUUGGGAUAACUUCAGGAAACUGGGGCUAAUACCGGAUAGGAGCUCCUGCUGCAUGGUGGGGGUUGGAAAGUUUCGGCGGUUGGGGAUGGACGCGCGGCUUAUCAGCUUGUUGGUGGGGUAGUGGCUUACCAAGGCUUUGACGGGUAGCCGGCCUGAGAGGGUGACCGGGCAAAAUGGGACUAGGGGAGGGCCCAGGGGCCAAGCGGGGACAAGGGGUGGGAAAUUUUGCAAAGGGGGCGGAGGGAUGGUGCAAAGCCGCGGGGUGGGAAAGGCGGGCUUUGGGGUAGAAACCCGCUUCGCCUUGUAAAGAGGGGGGAGGACGGGAAUGGGAUAAGAAGGAACGGGUAAACAAGUG
rnacentral:rRNA from 1 species